GACCUGGGCACUCUCCUCGCCCCGCCUCUCGCCGGAAGCGCUCUGCCCAGGCCCCGCCCCCCGGAAGCCCUGCUUCUAAUCGGGCGCUAGUAGUUUCCAUAGGACCUGGAAGUGGAGACUGGGGCGUGAAGGUCUUUCGACAGAGUGAGCUUCUCCUUUCUGCUGAAAAGUUUCGCUGCGGGCCUCUCCUACUACCUCCUCAGGGUCUUGUGAGUGACUACGGACCUAAAAUCCCCACACCCGCCCCUGAAUUUACCCCAGGGUCAACAUCUAAAGAGAAUUGCUACCUGGGUAAGAAGCCCGGAAGAGGAGGAAGAGGAAAGAAAAGGAGUCAGAAAUGGCUCUUUCUCAGCCACUGUUGGGGACUUCCCUGGUGGUCCAGUGGUUAA
rnacentral:lncRNA from 1 species